ACUAUUUUGGCAGAUUAGUGCAAUAAAUUUAGAAUUUAUUUAUGUAAUAUUUAUUACAAAUAGUACUUGUUUUAU
rnacentral:tRNA from 2 species